UACGGGGGGGGCAAGCGUUGUUCGGAAUUACUGGGCGUAAAGGGCUCGUAGGCGGCCAACUAAGUCCGACGUGAAAUCCCAAGGCUUAACCUUGGAACUGCGUCGGAUACUGGAUGGCUUGAAUUCGGGAGAGGGAUGCAGAAUUCCAGGUGUAGCGGUGAAAUGCGUAGAUAUCUGGAGGAAUACCGGUGGCGAAGGCGGGUCUCUGGGCAAUUCCUGACGCUGAGGCGCGAAAGCGUGGGUAGCAAACAGG
rnacentral:rRNA from 1 species